CGCACGGUGGACCGGCCUUCUAGCGUCUUCCUCGCGGCGUCUUUUGGUUGUAACGGGGCUGUGUCAAAUUGCGCUUCUGCUUCCAGCGCUGGGGAGAGGCCGCACUCAGAAGAGUCUUCCAGAAUGAGCAGAGGACAGUGAGGAGGAUAGGACCUAAAUCCACGGUUUUGUAUGAGCCCGACAGCACCUGUAACGGGGCUGUCCCUCUCGCCUGUCCGGCGCCUCCACACUAGCCCUUCGUUCCUGAGACACCCGCUGGGGACCUUGUUGAGCCUUUACACAGCGGAGACCGAGGUCCCUGGUCACCCGGCCCAGGGCUGGGGUGAGGGGUCGGCUGAGCCCGCUGGACGCGCUUGAGUCCCUGCUUCUCGCGGUCUCCCUCCGCCCAUGAGGGGGUCAUGGCGGCGCCGGAGCUGGCCUCCUUAUUCCCUGAGACACAACGUUGAAACUAGGCCAGAUGAUAACCCUACAAUGGCCUAUCUAUAAGUGUUCAAGCGAAAUCUCUCACUUUAAAUCAAAAGCUAGAAAUGAUUCAGCUUAGCGAGCAAGGCAUUCAAAAGCCAAAAGAGGCUGAAAGCUAGGCCUCUUGCACCAGAGAGCCAAGUUGUGAAGGCAAAGACAAAGUUCUUGAGGAAAAUUAAAAGUGCUACUCCAGUGAACACACAAAUGUGUGAACACCAGCCACGACAUUCCCAUAAACCAAAGCCUAAUCCAGAGCAAGGCCCUAACUCUUCAGUUCAAGGUAGGCUGCCAGAGGUGAGGAAGCUGCAGAAGAGAAGCUGGAAACUAGCAGAGGUUGAUUCAUGCAGUUUAAGAAGCCAUCUCUCGAACGGAAAAGUACAAGGUAAAGCCGAGAGUGCUGAUGGUAGGAGCUGCGGCAGAAGCUCUUCUCCAGAAGAUCUAACUAAAACAAUUCAUUGUAGGUGGCUACACUAAACAACAGAUUUUCAGUGUAGAUGAAACACCUUCCAUUGGGAAAGUUGUCAUCUAGGACUUUCAUAGCUAGAGAGAAGCCAGUGCCGGGCUUAAAGCCUCAAAGUACAUGCCAACUCUGCUUAGGGGCAAACGGAGCUGAUGACUUUAAGUGGAGACCAGUGUCCACUGACCAUUCUGAAAACCCAAGGACCCUUAAGAAUUAUGCUAAUUCUGUUCUGCCUGUGCUCUGUGAAUGAAAGAACAGAGCCUGGAUGACAACACAUCUGCUUACAGCUUGGCUUAUUGAAUGUUUUAGGCCCACUGUUAAGACCUAGUGCUCAGAAAAAAAUAGAUUCUUUUCUAAAAUAUAUGGUCUAAUUGACAAUGCUGGUCAUCUGAGAGCUCUGGUAGAGAAAUAUACAAUGAGAUUAAUGUUUUAAUGACUGCUAACAGAUCAGUUUUGCAGCCCAUGAAUCAAGAACUAACUUUGCCUUUCAAGUCUUUUUGAGAAAACCAUUUUAUAAGGCUAUAGCUGCCGUAGAUAGUGAUUCCUCUGAUGGAUCUGGGCAAAGUCAAUAAAAAUCUGGAAAGAAUUCAUCCUUUUAGAUGCCGUUCAUGAUUCAUGGAAAGAGGUCAAAUUAUCAACAUGAACAGGAGUUUGGAAAAAGUUGAUCCAACCCUUGUGGAUGACUUUGAGGGAUUUAAGACUUGAGUAGAGGAAAUUACUGCAGAUGUGGCAGAAAGAGCAAGUGAACUUGAAUUAAAAGCGGAGGCUGAGGAUGUGACUGAAAUGCUGUGAUCUCAUUCAGCCGAAGGGACGAGGAGCUGCUCUUUACAGAUGAGCAAAGAACAUGGUUUCUUAAACUGGGGCCUACUCCUGGGGGAGAUGGUGAAGAUUGCUGAAAUGACAGCAGAGCACUUAGAAUGUUACCUAAGUUAGUUGAUAAAGCAGCAACAAAGUUUAGGAAGAUUGACCCCAGUUUUUAAAUGGGUAAAAUGCUAUCAAACGGCACUUCAUGACAGAGAAAUCAUUCUUGAAAGGAAAAGUCAACCGAUGCAGCAAACUUCAUUGCUGUCUUAUUUUAAGAAACUGCCACAGCCACCCCAGCCUUCAGCAACUGCCACCCUGAUCAGUCAGCAGCCAUCAACAAAAGACCCCCUCCUCCACCAGCAAAAAGAUUAUGACUUACAGAAGCUCAGAUUAUAUUGAGCAAUAAAGUAUUUUUCAAUUAAGGUAUGUACUUUUGUAUAAACAUAAGGAAAAAAUCCACUGGACUCACUUCAUUGCAGCACUCGUUUAUUACAGUGUUUAGUACAGUGUUCUGUAACCAAACCUGUGUUCUCUUUCUCAAGUAGGACUGUGUAGAAAGCAGCUGCCAGUCUCGACAGGCUGAUUCAGCCCCAGGAAUGUGGGUGCAGAACUGGAGACAUUUAGUUGUUUGAAUGCUGCAACUAAAACCCUUAGCUGAAAGUUCAGGUUACAGCACACAGUUGAGGGGCACGGCCAGCCCUGAGGCUCAGCUGCUGCCGCUAACGAUAUUGCUUACAAUUGCAGUCCUCUUCCUAUUCGCCUUUAAUGCCAGAGCUCUUACUUUUGCGACUCUGAAGGCGUACAGCCUUGUCAUUCUUUCAUCAGUGCCUUCUUCAUCAGCAGUUUCUCCCCCAACACAACUACUUAAAAUCCUAUUUAAGGUGUCUGACUUCCCUUUGAUGCCCAGCACAGAGGUAGACUCCUAGGAAGUGCCCAGUGGUGCGUGCCUUGGUUCUUUCGGGAUCUGUACCAGUGACUGCACAAUAGGUUCUAAUCACAUCUGACUAACCCAAACUAAUGAAGCUACUCUCACUUUACAGGCAUCGAUGACCUUCAAUAACUUGGUCUUAACUUGACCGUGAGGGCAGCUGCAGUCAGCCCAGAAGACUUGUACUGAGAGGUGGUACGGAAGGCUGUUUUUGGGCUUCGGAUUUCACUGGGUAAAGCCUCACCUCUCCUCCAUGAUGCCUCCUUCAUUCUGCCUUUUCUCCAAAACACAUCUUUAGGGCACCCUUCCUCCUUCCUGCAGCCCAGAAUUCCUACAUCCGUCAGGCUGUUCUCGGAUUAAUCUUCUGAUGUCUAGCAAGGUAAGAACUCAUAGUGGACAGUUUGCUACAUUUCUCAUACAAGCUCUCUCCAGUGUG